rnacentral:snRNA from 1 species
GUGCUUGCUUUGGCAGUACAUAUACUAAAAUUGGAACCAUACAGAGAGAUUAGCAUGGCCCCUGCGCAAGGAUGACACGCAAAUUCGUGAAUAUUUCCAUAUUUUU